rnacentral:pre_miRNA from 1 species
CCCUUAACUGUUAAAAGUUUCGUUUUGGUCCUUUAACUUACUUUUUGGUUUCGUUUUGGUCCCUUAACUCUUCCUCCGUCAACCACUUUGGUCCUUUAUGUUAGGAUGAAUGUAUUAGAGUUCAGGGACCAAAAUGAAACCAAAAAAUAAGUUAAGGGACCAAAACGAGACCAAAAAAUAAGUUAAGGGACCAAAACGAAACUUUUAAUAGUUAAGGGA